AUCCAGCUAAUCAGUGAUAAAACUGGGGGCACUGAAAGAUAAGUACCUGGAUUGGGCUUACCAAAGUGGUGGCUACAAAAAGGCUGGAGCUGUGUUUAAAAGUUUACAGGAGAGCCAUCCAUUUUUAGUUGACUUUUUUAGGAAAUGAUCCAGUUUGAAAAGGAGCAAGAAUGCAGGAAUUCUGCAACAGAGGGCUUUGAGAGAAUUUAGAUCUGUAGAUUCUGAUCUUUGGAUAGAUUACAUCAAAGCAGAAUUGAACCGCCCCCUUGGUAGACCUGAGAAAUGUAGACAGACCUGUUGGCGAGCCAUGAAAAUGUUGCAGAGAGAGUCAUCAGAGGCAUCUGUAGCUAAACAUGCUAUGCAUCAGACUGGU
rnacentral:lncRNA from 10 species